rnacentral:misc_RNA from 1 species
GGGGAUUCUCGCUAACAGUGGGUCAAGUUCUUCUCUCAAGUUCUUGAUUUACGGCCGGACCGGCUGGAUUGGCGGUUUGCUUGGCCAGCUCUGCCAACAACAGGGUAUCGAUUUCACUUAUGGCUCUGGCCGUCUCGAGAACCGCGCCUCCCUCGAGGCUGAUAUCGCCGCCAUCAAGCCCACCCAUGUCUUCAACGCCGCUGGAGUCACCGGCCGCCCGAACGUCGAC